ensembl:lncRNA
CUCACUUCGUCUCAGGUAGUACUUCAUCUCAGGUUAUACUCCAGUACUACUGUAGUACUACAGUAGUACUCACUUCAUCUCAUGUAAUAUUGCAGUACUACUGUAGUACUUCAUCUCAGGUAAUACUGCAGUACUACUGUAGUACUUCAUCUCAAGUAAUGCUGCAGUACUACUGUAGUACUACUGUAAUACUCACUUCAUCUCAGGUAAUACUGCAGUACUACUGUAGUCCUUCAUCUCAAGUAAUACUGCAGUACUUUAGUACUACAGUAGUACCCACUUCAUCUCAGGUAAUACUGCAGUACUACUGUAGUGCUCACUUCAUCUCAGGUAAUACUGCAGUACUACUGCAGCACUACUGUAGUACUCACUUCAUCUCAGGUAAUACCGCGGUACUACUGUAGUACUCACUUCAUCUCAGGUAAUACUGCAGUACUACUGUAGUACUCACUUCAUCUCAGGUAAUACCGCGGUACUACUGUAGUACUCACUUCAUCUCAGGUAAUACUGCUGUACUACUGCAGUACUACUGUAGUACUCACUUCAUCUCAGGUAAUACCGCGGUACUACUGUAGUACUCACUUCAUCUCAG